GAUGAACGCUAGCGGCAGGCCUAACACAUGCAAGUCGAGGGAGAAGCCCUUUCGGGGGCAGAAACCGGCGCACGGGUGCGUAACGCGUAUGCAACCUACCUUUCACAGGGGGAUAGCCCGAAGAAAUUUGGAUUAAUACCCCAUAAUAUUAUUGGAUGGCAUCAUUUGAUAAUUAAAACUGCGGUGGUGAAAGAUGGGCAUGCGUCCUAUUAGCUAGUUGGAGUGGUAACGGCACCCCAAGGCUACGAUAGGUAGGGGUCCUGAGAGGGAGAUCCCCCAUACUGGUACUGAGACAGGGACCAGACUCCUACGGGAGGCAGCAGUGAGGAAUAUUGGUCAAUGGUCGGAAGACUGAACCAGCCAUGCCGCGUGCAGGAAGAAUGCCUUAUGGGUUGUAAACUGCUUUUAUAUGGGAAGAAUAAGGCGUACGUGUACGUUGAUGACGGUACCAUAUGAAUAAGCAUCGGCUAACUCCGUG
rnacentral:rRNA from 1 species